GAAACGGCCUGCAGCUCGCUGUCUCAGCCUUUGCCCUGCCAGUCUUCCGUUUUUCGUAGCACCUCCGCUACGCAUUCUCAGACAUCGCCAGCUCUCGCUAAAGGUGUCGCAAGGAACUCGGCGGCGAAGGGAAAAGAGAUGCGCUACCACACACGAGCGUGUGAGCUACUCCAAGGAGAUCUGUCCUCGUGCCGACAGCCAUGUGAUGCUCCAUAAACAAAUGGCGGGAAUAAUAACUGGCUUGUCGCGGUGAAGCACCACCGCCUUCUCCUCCCCCCCCGUCUUCGCCGAAGACAGGCGCGUCACCUUACCCGGUCAAACGUGCGGAGCUGACGUUACAUCCGUGGAUGGACGUAAAAAAACCGAAGUCUCUUGCUCAGGCAGAGCCAAGACGGCAAAGCCGCAAGGAAUGCAGAGGCUUGAAUCAACGGCAAAGAGCCGCGGCGCUUUCCUCCUCGUAUCGCCGAUCGCGGCGUGCCUCCUUUUUGCGCUGAAGAUAAAAAGGCCGAGCGCGCCCAAACUGUCGGAUCCGUCGCCAUACGGAGCUGCAGGGGGCGAAAGGCUGGGGCCCUUCAACUGGAACGCUUUCCCGGACACCCCGGGGGGUCACAAAGCAGCCUUUUGAUGGAUUCGUGCGGCGAUUGUAAAUUUUCCCCGCACCCACCCACCCCGACCUGGCCGCCCCAACGGCAGGUUAAAAGCCCUCCUCCCCCCACAGGGCAUAGCGGGAACCGAGGGCGGCGCCGGCGGCGGCAUUUAAUCCCCCGCUCACCAGGCCAAAGCGAAGGGGCUGUUGUAAGGCCGCGGUUGCGCUGGGGCAGUGCGCGAUGCUAGCGGCGAGAACGCCACCGCGCCUGACAGAGCCAACGCAGACCCGAGUUUCCACCAAGCCGUCCAUUGUGGCAGUGGGCUGCUUUGCCGCCGCGGCGGGCCGUAGGGGGGAGGGGGGCGGCGGAAAACAUGCAGACCACAAACCCGGUGAGACGGCGCAAGCUCGAAGUCGACCGCGCGACAAAAAGCCGAGCAACACCCCGUGCCGCUGAGCGCCCCGUGCGUGGGGCGGCACGUGAUGCACACAUGGAUACACUACACUGUAGAACUGUCGUUUCUCUGACGGCGCUGCGGCCCCCUGUCCCCUGUCUCCUUCCCCCACCCCCGCGCGCGCCGCGUCAUCGAGGUCUUCGUGUACCCCGUGCGCCCCCACUCGUGGCACACACAUGGGGAAUGGUCAAGACCGAGAGACGCCACCGCCGCGCACCACGCGCAGUCCCAUUUCGCUCGUCCCGCUCCGCACCGUUGAGCUGCCGUCGAUGAACAAUGGGCCGAGACCUGCGCGCGCCCCGCUAGACACCCUGCCCCCGUCCCCUCGUGCGCGCCGCCGCACACAUGAUGAGACUCUUUUUUUUUUCGCUGCCGCUGAGCGCCCCGUGCGUGGGGCGGCACGUGAUGCACACAUGGAUACACUACACUGUAGAACUGUCGUUUCUCUGACGGCGCUGCGGCCCCCUGUCCCCUGUCUCCUUCCCCCACCCCCGCGCGCGCCGCGUCAUCGAGGUCUUCGUGUACCCCGUGCGCCCCCACUCGUGGCACACACAUGGGGAAUGGUCAAGACCGAGAGACGCCACCGCCGCGCACCACGCGCAGUCCCAUUUCGCUCGUCCCGCUCCGCACCGUUGAGCUGCCGUCGAUGAACAAUGGGCCGAGACCUGCGCGCGCCCCGCUAGACACCCUGCCCCCGUCCCCUCGUGCGCGCCGCCGCACACAUGAUGAGACUCUUUUUUUUUCGCUGCCGCUGAGCGCCCCGUGCGUGGGGCGGCACGUGAUGCACACAUGGAUACACUACACUGUAGAACUGUCGUUUCUCUGACGGCGCUGCGGCCCCCUGUCCCCUGUCUCCUUCCCCCACCCCCGCGCGCGCCGCGUCAUCGAGGUCUUCGUGUACCCCGUGCGCCCCCACUCGUGGCACACACAUGGGGAAUGGUCAAG
rnacentral:misc_RNA from 1 species